UUUCGGGUCUAUACCCUGCAACUUAACGCCCAGUUAAGACUCGGUUUCCCUGCGGCUCCCCGUAUAGGGGAGCCGCAGGGAAACCGAGUCUUAACUGGGCGUUAAGUUGCAGGGUAUAGACCCGAAACCCGGUGAUCUAGCCAUGGGCAGGUUGAAGGUUGGGUAACACUAACUGGAGGACCGAACCGACUAAUGUUGAAAAAUUAGCGGAUGACUUGUGGCUGGGGGUGAAAGGCCAAUCAAACCGGGAGAUAGCUGGUUCUCCCCGAAAGCUAUUUAGGUAGCGCCUCGUGAACUCAUCUUCGGGGGUAGAGCACUGUUUCGGCUAGGGGGUCAUCCCGACUUACCAACCCGAUGCAAACUACGAAUACCGAAGAAUGUUAUCACGGGAGACACACGGCGGGUGCUAACGUCCGUCGUGAAGAGGGAAACAACCCAGACCGCCAGCUAAGGUCCCAAAGUCAUGGUUAAGUGGGAAACGAUGUGGGAAGGCACAGACAGCCAGGAUGUUGGCUUAGAAGCAGCCAUCAUUUAAAGAAAGCGUAAUAGCUCACUGGUCGAGUCGGCCUGCGCGGAAGAUGUAACGGGGCUAAACCAUGCACCGAAGCUGCGGCAGCGACACUAUGUGUUGUUGGGUAGGGGAGCGUUCUGUAAGCCUGCGAAGGUGACCUGUGAGGGUUGCUGGAGGUAUCAGAAGUGCGAAUGCUGACAUAAGUAACGAUAAAGCGGGUGAAAAGCCCGCUCGCCGGAAGACCAAGGGUUCCUGUCCAACGUUAAUCGGGGCAGGGUGAGUCGACCCCUAAGGCGAGGCCGAAAGGCGUAGUCGAUGGGAAACAGGUUAAUAUUCCUGUACUUGGUGUUACUGCGAAGGGGGGACGGAGAAGGCUAUGUUAGCCGGGCGACGGUUGUCCCGGUUUAAGCAUGUAGGCUGGUUAUCCAGGCAAAUCCGGAUAAUCAAGGCUGAGGUGUGAUGACGAGGCACUACGGUGCUGAAGUAACAAAUGCCCUGCUUCCAGGAAAAGCCUCUAAGCAUCAGGUAACAUCAAAUCGUACCCCAAACCGACACAGGUGGUCAGGUAGAGAAUACCAAGGCGCUUGAGAGAACUCGGGUGAAGGAACUAGGCAAAAUGGUGCCGUAACUUCGGGAGAAGGCACGCUGGUGUGUAGGUGAAGUCCCUGCGGAUGGAGCUGAGACCAGUCGAAGAUACCAGCUGGCUGCAACUGUUUAUUAAAAACACAGCACUGUGCAAACACGAAAGUGGACGUAUACGGUGUGACGCCUGCCCGGUGCCGGAAGGUUAAUUGAUGGGGUUAUCCGUAAGGAGAAGCUCUUGAUCGAAGCCCCGGUAAACGGCGGCCGUAACUAUAACGGUCCUAAGGUAGCGAAAUUCCUUGUCGGGUAAGUUCMGACCUGGCCAUCAUUACGCCAUUCGUGCAGGUCGGAACUUACCCGACAAGGAAUUUCGCUACCUUAGGACCGUUAUAGUUACGGCCGCCGUUUACCGGGGCUU
rnacentral:rRNA from 1 species